UACGUAGGGUGCGAGCGUUAAUCGGAAUUACUGGGCGUAAAGCGUGCGCAGGCGGUUCUGCAAGUCAGAUGUGAAAUCCCCGGGCUAACCUGGGACUGCGUUUGAAACUACGGAGCUAGAGUGCGGCAGAGGGGGUGGAAGUUCCACGUGUAGCAGUGAAAUGCGUAGAUAUGUGGAGGAACACCGAUGGCGAAGGCAGCCCCCUGGGCCGACACUGACGCUCAGGCACGAAAGCGUGGGGAGCAAACAGG
rnacentral:rRNA from 1 species